CCUCUUGUUUAGACACUCAAUGAUGAAGAAAUAUUAAACAUUUAAAGUUGUCCUUACCUGACCUCUUUGUCAACAGUAUUCACUAAUCCUUUUUAAAAGGUCCUGUUCUUGUUGCUAGAGUAGUUGUAAAAACAAGAUGCACUGAAUAAUCGUUUCAAAUGAUCUCAAGCUGACGAGAACAUAGCCGCAACCACAAGCAGGAACUCCCAGGUCUUCUGUGUCACACACUGUGUC